GUAAAAUGAGUCUUUGGUGUUCUAUCCCUUAAAGUGAAAAAAAUAUUUUGGCAUUAAAGAAUUUUGUACCUCACUGGUACAUCAGCUGCAUUGAUAACAAGUCUCAAAAAUUAUAAACAGUACUUGUAAAGCCAUGCAAGUCUUCUCAAAUGACACAGUAUGGUUUUAUUUGGCUGAAAAUUAAAGAGUAAAUUUAAGUUUAUUCUGAAUACUGUUCAGACAUAUUAUUCAAACAAAGACUGCUUGUUUGCAGUUUUCAUUAUUUUACAUGUUCUGUACUUCAACUCUGUCAAAACUUGGUAAAACAUGAAUCACAUGCCACCAGUUGCAUAUUGUUGCUGUGUUUCCUCAAGUUUUUAUGUAUCUCUGCAUUCCAGUCACCUGGCAAACCCAAGCUGUAGUGUUAAAACCCCAACCAAUUCUCAUGACUUCCACAGGACCCAUAAUUCUUUCCAAGGGUUUCCACUUCAGAGCCUGCUUUGAAGGUGAGUCCUUUGGAUGUGUUUCACAGAACAAUGACAGGAACUAGCACAUUGUUCCACCCAAAUACCUGUGCUUGAGUGAGAGCAUCUGUAUACUGCGAUUUUUUGGGAAAGAAAUGUGAAGAAGCUUCAAAACAGCUCAGAUCCUGUUAACAGUGUGGAAUUUGGGAAUAGGAGCAACAAAAGUUGCUUGAUAAGGUUUGCACCUUUGAGAUGUCAGGGUGAACACUCGGUGGUAGGUAACUCCAUGGCUUGAGUGCUGUUAACCCAGAUUUAUCUGCAGGUUGCUCGGGAUGUAUCAGGAUGAGUCCCCCUAAAAACUUAAUGCUUUUCAGACAGUAUUUAUGGAACAUAUUUAAGAUGCUAAAAUUUUACAUAUGGUCCACAAUGUCUUUUCUGUACCUGUGAUCUGAUGGACUGAGGAUGUAGAGGAAAAUUAAUACAUUAUCAACUAAAAAAUGGAAUUUUCUACAUAUAUUGGUUUUGGAAUAAUACUGAAGUAUUAUAAGAUCAUGGAAGGACUAUUAACAUAAUAUAUUUAUACAAGGACAAUGUAUAUUUAAUCAGUACUUAAUGGUGAUAUCUUAAUAGGUUUCCCCAUAGAGAACGACAAUGUGAUUUUCAUCUUCCUGAAUUAAUAAUCUUGCAGAAUGCUGAAGACCAUUUUUACAUUUCAUUCAUAUGCAGAAAGAAGAAAUCUUUUUCUGAGCAACUAAGGAAACCUCUAAAACAAAUCAAAGCUGUGGGCAGUGAGCACAGAGAACUCAUUAGCUCAAGAAUAAAGUCAAGAGUUGUUUCCUUGUGCCUACUACAGUGAAGGCUGAAGAAAGAGGGGCAAAAGGAGGUAGGAAGCUCUGACAAGGUGUCUUCAGGAAACAUCAAAGCAAAAAAGAAAUUUUGCUGCUGAAGGACAAAAGAGGAGACAUCACUGCUAUUUCAUAUCAUCACUAUUUUUGCCAGUGAACUCUUGUGAUUGUACUGCCCUGAUUUGCAAUAUUUCCUUCCAUCCCAGAGGCACUACUGAACAUAUAAAUGACUGCUUUUUGUGCAAAGAUCACACAAGUUACAUAGGGUAAAGAAUCUGAGUUAAAUAUAAUCAAAUAUCAACACUGUGCUAUAAAAUUACAGCCUGAAUUAUUUUUGCCUGCUUGUAGUCAAGAGAUUUAAACAAGCAUUUCCAAUAAUCUCAUUUUAACAUUUUAGACUGACACUUUACAAUAGCUAUAGUUGACUCAAUUAAAUGUUUGGGUACCAGAAUGAGGAAGGAAGGGAACUUUAUUUGAAUUGAUUGACUUUUUCAGCUGCUCUCUGAAAUACAUCCAUAGCAUGCUCACUAUCCUUGUCUACUCAAAAGACACUAUUUUGACUGUAAAAUGAGAUUUCAGCUUCAACAUCAGAAAAGAGAUGGGAACAUAGGAAUGUCGAAUUAUUGGCAUUAGCUAUCUUUCCUUUUCCUUGAAAAUUAUUUACCUCAAAAAGGAAGAAAGAGGCUUCUAAUCAAACAUUUCAAUUGAGUAGAACCCAGAACUUUGAUAGACACUGACUUUCUAACUGAUAACACUGUUUUUUCAAAUAUGUUUGAGACAGCUCUGACACAAGGACUGCUAUGCAGAAGGGUAUGGGUGAAGUAUACCAAAUAAGUUUUACAAGGAAAGCUUAUUCUUUCUUUAUGCAAAAAUGUAUCUUUUUCUUUAAGAUUUUGGAAAACAAGAUCACUUUUUCCCCUUGAAAUUUUAUUUUCAGCUUUCAAAAGAACCUGAAAAGACACUUAGAAUAUUUUGAGUCUUUAUGCUUAGUUGCAAUUAAAACCUCCACCAAACUGGACCGUGCCUUCAGUGCUUAACAUUCAACUGUGAUGACCAGUCUGAGCUCACUCUCAUCAGGGAUACUUGCUUGGGCAUCUUUAAAGAAAAUGGAUAGAAAUCUCCUCCUAUCUUAUGUCUCAGCUGAACUUACUCUCCAUUCCAAAUGAACAUCCUUUUUACAUGGACACUCAAUAAACAUUUCAAGCUUCUAGACUGAUCUCUUGUUUCACUAUUGCACAGGAAUCCGUACAACUGGCAUUGUAGUCUUUGUGCUGAGGCGUAGUGGUGGAAAUCUCUGCAGUGUGUAUGCCUGGAAGAUACUGCUCCUCAGAAAUAAUGUGCCUAUGGCAGCAACAGGAGGACACACAAAGUUAAUUCCCCCUAUUAUCCACUGGAAAAAGACAUUUGAAAUGAACAGAUUUUAAAAUGAACAGAUAGAGAGUACAUCAGCAAAUUGCUCAUCUCUCCAAUUCGUGCUAUUGAAAGAGCACUUGGGGACUGAUUUGUGAUAAUCUGGUGAUUCACUGGAAAGAGCUGAAGGAACAAUGCCCCCCCUGUGGACAAUGAUAAGCAAGAAUGAGAUUUCUUAUUACUGCCGAUGUACCUGCUGAAAUUACUGCUCAAGUACUUUUUGCUAUUGCUGUUUUUCCUUCUGUUGUAAUUAAACAACACCAGAACACUG